rnacentral:rRNA from 1 species
UGCCAGCCUCCUCGGUAAUACGGAGGGUGCAAGCGUUAUCCGGAUUCACUGGGCGUAAAGCGCGCGUAGGCGGCUUUUUAAGUCAGAAGUGAAAGCCCCGAGCUCAACUUGGGAACUGCUUUUGAAACUGAUCUUCUUGAAUAUAGUUGAGGUAGGCGGAAUACAACAUGUAGCGGUGAAAUGCAUAGAUAUGUUGUAGAACACCAAUUGCGAAGGCAGCUUACUAGACUAUCAUUGACGCUGAGGCACGAAAGCGUGGGGAGCGAACAGGAUUAGAUA